rnacentral:rRNA from 1 species
UUUGUGAACUUAUACCUACUGUUGCCUCGGCGUCAGGCCGGCCCCUUCACUGGGGCCCCCCGGAGACGGGGAGCAGCCCGCCGGCGGCCAACUAAACUCUUGUUUCUACAGUGAAUCUCUGAGUAAAAAACAUAAAUGAAUCAAAACUUUCAACAACGGAUCUCUUGGUUCUGGCAUCGAUGAAGAACGCAGCGAAAUGCGAUAAGUAAUGUGAAUUGCAGAAUUCAGUGAAUCAUCGAAUCUUUGAACGCACAUUGCGCCCCCUGGUAUUCCGGGGGGCAUGCCUGUUCGAGCGUCAUUUCAACCCUCAAGCCUGGCUUGGUGAUGGGGCACUACUUCCUCACGGGAGUAGGCCCUGAAAUUCAGUGGCGAGCUCGCCAGGACCCCGAGCGUAGUAGUUAUAUCUCGCUUUGGAAGGCCCUGGCGGUGCCCUGCCGUUAAACCCCCAACUUCUGAAAAUUUGACCUCGGAUCAGGUAGGAAUACCCGCUGAACUUAAGCAUA